rnacentral:lncRNA from 1 species
GGCACACAUUACAAUAAACAUUUUUAUGGUCCCCAACAUUAGGCAUAUAAAUCCUACCUGUCUUCACACACUUACACACUAAAACUCCCACAGAAAGGGGGAAAAUUAGAAAAGGGGUGAUAUAAUUUGACUCUGUGUCACCACCCAAAUCUCAUCUUGAAUUGUAAUCCCCGUAAUUUCUCACCUGGCAAGAGUGGGACCAGGUGGAGACAAUUGGAUCAUGGGGGCAGUUUUCCCCAUGCUCUUCUCGUGAUAAUGAUUGAGUCUCAUGGGAUCUGAUGAUUCUAUAAGUGUCUGGCUUUUCUCCUACUUGCACUCACUCCAUCCUGCCACCCUGCGAGGAAGGUGCCUGCUUCUUCUUUGCCUUCCGCCGUGAGUGUGAGUCUCCUGAGGCCUCCCCAGCAAUGUGGAACUGAUACGUCAUGGAACAGAGGGCAACCUGCCUCCUGGAAAUGUGGAGUGUCUAGGGAGUCACAGCUGAGAUCUUCCUUGGAUUAAAGGCUGCGGGUGUCACAAACAGGAUGCUGUAACAACACCAUAAACUUUCAAACAACUCUAUUUCCUACGGUUCUGGAGGCUGGAAGUCCACAAUCAAAGUGUCAUGUUGUCAGGUUGUGGUGAGGGCCCUCUUUUGGGUGUAGAUUGCUAACUUUUCUGUAUGUGUUCACAUGGCAGAAAGAGAUUGAGCUAGCUCUUGGAUCCUUUCUUAUAAGGGCACCAAUCCCAAUACAGAGGCUUCACUCUCAUGACAUAAUUGUCUCCCAAAGACUCUACCUCCAAAUAUUAUCAAUCACAUUAGGGGAUAGAUUUUAACACAUGAUUUUGGGGGGAACACAUUCAGUCCAUAACAUUUCUUGAGUCUUCUUCUAGGACCCAUAGGUUAUUUUAAAAGUGGCUUGUUCAGUUCCAAGUGUUUGAAGAUUUUUUUUUUCUGUUAUCUUUAACUUACUGAUUUCUAGAUAGACCCCAUUGUGCUCAGAGAACACUCCUUAUGUGAUUUCAAUUAUUUUAAAUUUGUUGAGAUUUUAUGACUUAGUAUGUCAUCUGUCUUGGUGUGUAUUCUGUGGGGGGGAUGGGGGGUGCUUGAAAAACGGGUAUUCUGCUAUUAUAGAAUGUCAAAAUAUCAACUGUAAUAAACAAGAAAAAUAAUCCUAGUCUUUUAUUUAAGGGCCCUCUUUAGUCCAUCUCAACAGACCCUUCUCCGAAGGGGAAAGAAAUGCAGCUCACAAGAGCCCAUUAAACAACUAAAACAAGACAAAAUAAAACAACUACCCCCUGCCAAUUUGCACACUGUUACUUCUUUUGUUUUCCCAAUCUUAUUUCUUCUUCUUUUUUAUAAUAAAAAAUUUCAAAGCAA